rnacentral:rRNA from 1 species
UACGGGGGGGGGCAAGCGUUGUUCGGAAUUACUGGGCGUAAAGGGCUCGUAGGCGGCCAACUAAGUCGGACGUGAAAUCCCUCGGCUUAACCGGGGAACUGCGUCCGAUACUGGAUGGCUUGAGUGUGGGAGAGGGAUGCGGAAUUCCAGGUGUAGCGGUGAAAUGCGUAGAUAUCUGGAGGAACACCGGUGGCGAAGGCGGCAUCCUGGACUACUACUGACGCUGAGGGAGCGAAAGCCAGGGGAGCAAACGGGG